UACGUAGGGUGCGAGCGUUAAUCGGAAUUACUGGGCGUAAAGCGUGCGCAGGCGGUUUUGUAAGCCAGAUGUGAAAUCCCCGGGCUUAACCUAGGAAUGGCAUUUGGGACUGCAAGGCUUGAGUGCGGCAGAGGAGACUGGAAUUCCUGGUGUAGCAGUGAAAUGCGUAGAUAUCAGGAGGAACACCGAUGGCGAAGGCAGGUCUCUGGGCUGACACUGACGCUCAUGCACGAAAGCGUGGGGAGCAAACAGG
rnacentral:rRNA from 1 species